CCUACGGGAGGCUGCAGUGAGGAAUAUUGGUCAAUGGCCGGAAGGCUGAACCAGCCAUGCCGCGUGAAGGUCAGUGCCCUAUGGGCGUUAAACUUCUUUUGUGCGGGAGCAAUAAUGGUCACGUGUGGCCAGACUAGCGUACCGUACGAAUAAGCAUCGGCUAACUCCGUGCCAGCAGCCGCGGUAAUACGGGGGAUGCAAGCGUUAUCCGGAUUUAUUGGGUUUAAAGGGUGCGUAGGCUUUGAGGUAAGUCAGCGGUGAAAUGCCCCCGCUCAACGGGGUGAAGUGCCAUUGAUACUGCCGCGCUGGAAUGCGGAUGCCGUGGGAGGAAUGUGUGGUGUAGCGGUGAAAUGCAUAGAUAUCACACAGAACACCGAUUGCGAAGGCAUCUCACGAAGCCGCGAUUGACGCUGAUGCACGAAAGCGUGGGUAUCAAACAGGAUUAGAUACCCGAGUAGUC
rnacentral:rRNA from 1 species